GGACUCAGGAAAGCGUUCAACUGUUUGCAGUGACCUGAAGGAAAAACCGGUUAUGUCUAAGUAACUUCUGCCCACCACCUUCCUUCUCUCUUUUCUUCAGGGAUCUCAACAUCCAUUUCUCCACCAAGGCAAGUCUUUUCAGAUCCCAACAGGUAGAGAGCGAACUCCAUCUCCACCAGCACACACCAUGGUGUUCUUCACGGUGGAGCCCC